ensembl:lncRNA
ACUGCUUUUAGUAAGACUAUUUUAUUUAAAAAUUUUUCAAAAUAUAAAAAUAAUAAACAUUAUGGGUAUUAACAAACAAAACAACAUAAUUCAACUAUAAAUAAUAAAAAUGUUGACAACCCCACAUAAACACGUAAUACUAUAAACAUUCUAGGCAUACAAGAGUAGUUUUCUAGUUCAAGUUUUACCAUUUUCAAGUUUUAUCACUUUAAAAAUAAACAAAAAAGCUGCUACAGCUUAACCAAUUACUUUCGCUCCACUCAAAGAGCAGGGAAAUUUUCCCCCAUGCCAACACACAUUCAUGAAAUGGGAUACUUAUGGGCACAGGUAUUAAAAACUGGAAUAAUCCAGUCUCCAGACAAGAAGGAAUUCCUUUGGUGUUUUUAGGUUCAGGAUUCUGAGAAUCAAAAGUAAACAUCUAUGAAUGCUUUGCUGAUACUUAAAAACUGUAUCUUGAGAACAUUCACUAAGGUGCUGGAAUGAAGUCUUGCAGAUGCAGAAAAUCUGCACAUCAACACAAAACUUGUACAAUGUAAAUAAUACAUCUCUUUACAACUCAUCAAAUGUUCUAUAAAUAUUUACGAAUUACCCUGCCUCCUGAUGAGUAAAAGACAGAUGGGAAUUGAAAGCAGAAGAGGAUUAUACCAUUUUUUAGGACUAGAGAAGUUUUCCAUUUGCAAUUGGGAAAACUGAGCCAUGCUCAAUGUAUCUUUUUUUUUUUUAAGUCUAGUCAUAUUAACACCAUUACUCUUAUCAAAAGAGCUGCUGACAAAUUGAAGAAAAUAUUUUCUUUCUGGGAAGUUGGACACCAAUUAGUAUAAUGUCAUUCUGCAUCAUUCUCUUUAAAUUACAGGGUGUUUCUAAUUGGCUGGGCUCUUUACCUGGCUCAUCACAGACUGCUUUUAUAAUUAUGCUGCUAGAUCAGAUUAAGUUAUAAGCAAUCAUAGAUUUAAGCUCAGCAAAGUCUGGAUAACAGGUUGAAAAAUGAUAUUGAAAGGUUUUGUAGCACCAAUGACUUUUUCCUAAGACACUUGAGGGGCUGCAUCACUUUAAAGUAUUAUUUCUCUUGUAAACAAGACCAAAAAUAUUCAAUUGAUCUGUACUUUGAGCACAAAUAUUUAUAAACUCUAUUUGAAAAAAAAACACACAUAUAGCAUGACUAGGGCAGCUAAUAGUGUAAAAUCUAAGUAUAUUGAAAAAUAUAAAGAUAUAUAAAAGGCUUUCAUAAUGCAAUCGUGCAGAGGUAAACUGCUUCAUUCAAUUACACAAAAGUGAUUCUGUACAGUUAUCUACAUAUAGCUCCAUGAAAAUCCUCUUCAGGAAAAUGAAAUAAUGGAAAUCCUCUUUAAUUAAUAAACAUAUGGGAAAUUAUUAAAAUAUGUACCUGACCUACCAGAUCUCAAAGCAAUUUUUCAAAAAGUGCAAUGAUUUUAACGAGAAUUAAAUCAUCUCAACUUCUGAUUCCCAAUGGCAUGUUCAAUUUCAUUUUGCUUUAUUUUGUUUUUAAUUUAAAAGCAAAGGGGGAAAAAAAAGGAAGAUGACAAAAUAAGAGAGAGUAGUGGUAUGUGAUCCACAGCUAUUAACCAACCCAAAGCUGAUAACAGCAAGUAUGGUCUCUUCAGAGAAUUAUCUUUGGGUUUUCAGCCCAGCACGUUAGAGCUAUUCUAACUAUUACACAGACAGAGAAGCUUUCCUUACAAAGAAAAAAUACUGAACUAACCUGGGAAAAUAUCUGCGAACUCCCAGCGGCUACAUGUUAGUUUACAAUGUGAACUAAUACAAAAGUCUAAUUUUUAAAAUGCCUUGUAGGCUACAAGGUCAUAGGUAAGAAAAAUUUCCAAAAUACUUACUGUUCCUUCAAACCAAGCCUACAUUAACCAUGCUGUUUUCAAUUAAUAUGAAUCAAAAUAGAUAAUUUACAUUAUGUCUGACAUAUUCAUUCUUUUUUCCUGACAACAAAUGCAAUGCAUACUCAAGAAAAAGUGCUUGAAGAAUAGUUAACUUUGCACAAAAAGGUGAAAAUGUGAGCAUGGCUGAAUGGAACUAAAAACAAAAGGAAAACAAGGGUGAAGAGAAUCAAAUAUAAUUUGGACUCUUUUAAUGAAAAGU